CAGAACAGCCACACCACCCUGAAAACACCCAAUCUCAUCUGAUCUCAGAAGCUAAGCAGCAUCGGGCUCAGUUAGUACUGGGUUGGGAGACUGCCCGGGAAUCCUGGGUGCUGUAGGCU
ensembl:rRNA 5S_rRNA 5S ribosomal RNA